UUACAAUGGAGAGUUUGAUCCUGGCUCAGGAUGAACGCUAGCGGCAGGCCUAAUACAUGCAAGUCGAACGAUACUCUC
rnacentral:rRNA from 1 species